UACGUAGGGUGCGAGCGUUAAUCGGAAUUACUGGGCGUAAAGCGUGCGCAGGCGGUUCGUUAAGUCAGAUGUGAAAGCCCGGGCUCAACCUGGGAACUGCAUUUGAAACUGGCGGGCUUGAGUGUGGCAGAGGGGGGUGGAAUUCCGCGUGUAGCAGUGAAAUGCGUAGAGAUGCGGAGGAACACCGAUGGCGAAGGCAGCCCCCUGGGCCAACACUGACGCUCAGGCACGAAAGCGUGGGGAGCAAACAGG
rnacentral:rRNA from 1 species